UGCCCAGCAACUCCUAUCCCUACCUCCUCGUGUACCGGCCGGAAACUACGAGCAACCUUAGGGAAGAUCGUGUAACGAACCCCGAUGGGAACUUUGGUCGUAGGCUGACAGGCAAGG
rnacentral:ribozyme from 1 species